GGCGAUAACUCAACAGAGAUGGUAACAACCCUGAUCGAUGAUGUGGGUACAACAGAGACCAUCUUAUCCGGCAGUUCGUCGACCACAGACACAGAUAUGGCAUCGACAAGAUCUGAUCCGUCUUCAACAACUUGCAACAAAGGGAGCCAACUAUCAAGUGCUUCGAAGACAACCGUGCUUGCAUUGGUUUUGACCAUGUCCCUUAUGUAACAAAUUAAUUUUUUGUUGUCUUUUCAAUUACCCUUUCUGUCAAAGAUGCAAGUGCAAGAUGAUCAAUAAGUAUUGAGGAAACGUAUAAUCACUAAGGUUUGUUUGUGUAUUUGAUCGUGAUAAAUAAUAAUACAUUAAAACAACUUGUCUUAACAAUAAACUACGAAACCAAUGUUGCUGCAUAACCCUAUUUAGCAUAUUAGUUGUGUUAUAUUUUUGUGUGUCUUUUAUUGCUUUUAAAUUUGAAAAACGAUGCUUUGUGGUUUAUGCUUGUUUACAUAUGAGUGUUUUGUGAUACAAUCUGGGCUAUGUAUGGGAUUUUGGUUGGCAAUCAACCGGUCAAAGGGACAUUUUCACAGAUUUGGCAUGUAUUGAAGUUUGUCAUUGAAUGCUUUAUAUUGAUAAAUAUAAACAUUGGAUCUAAAAGCUCCAGUAAAAACAAGAGUAACAUUAAAGAAAGAAAUAAGUUACCUCUGACCGGGCUCGAACCACUGACCCCUGGAGUAAAAGUCUAACUCUUAGUCCACUCAGCCAUCAGUGAUCAUGCAAUGAAUGAUGUAAAGUUUAUAUAAGCAAUCCUCGUAGUGUCACAAAAUAUAACGACACCAACAGAGCUCUCCAAAUUAUUCAAUCGUUUCGCGUUGCAACACUUUAUAAUUUUCAGGGUUUUAAAUCGUCAAAAGAUGCAUACAUGCAUUAUGGAUAUUGUAGAGCAUGGUAUAUGUUAAUAAUUACUGUUUCCUCACAAAUACCAUAACUUCAACAAAGAUUUACGGAUCUGAAACAUUUUAUUUUUAAUUUUGCCAAUUUACAAAAACGCCAAAAGGCCCCUUUAAACCCCGCACUUUUUUGCAUUGGCUAUUCCAAGGUUGACACCAGUUUGCAUCAUGAUUUUGUGUUUAUAGCCACACACCUUGAAAUGAAAUACAUGUUAAUCAAUACAUAUAAAUGCAAUUUAAAAGU